CCCUUAGAUGUUCUGGGCUGCACGCGCGCUACACUGAUGCGCUCAACGAGUUUUGACCUUGCCCGGCAGGGUUGGGUAAUCUUCUUAAAACGCAUCGUGAUGGGGAUAGAUUAUUGCAAUUAUUAAUCUUCAACGAGGAAUUCCUAGUAAGCGCGAGUCAUCAGCUCGUGCUGAUUACGUCCCUGCCCUUUGUACACACCGCCUGUCGCUCCUACCGAUUGAGUGAUCCGGUGAGUAAUUCGGACUGCAGCAGUGUUCAGUUCCUGAACGUUGCAGCGGAAAGUUUAGCAAACCUUAUCACUUAGAGGAAGGAGAAGUCGUAACA
rnacentral:rRNA from 1 species